rnacentral:rRNA from 1 species
CACAUGCAGUCGAACGAAGCAUUUAGAACGGAUUACUUCGGUUUGAAGUUCUUUAUGACUGAGUGGCGGACGGGUGAGUAACGCGUGGGUAACCUGCCUUGUACUGGGGGAUAGCAGCUGGAAACGGCUGGUAAUACCGCAUAAGCGCACAAUGUUGCAUGACAUGGUGUGAAAAACUCCGGUGGUAUAAGAUGGACCCGCGUCUGAUUAGCUAGUUGGUGAGAUAACAGCCCACCAAGGCGACGAUCAGUAGCCGACCUGAGAGGGUGACCGGCCACAUUGGGACUGAGACACGGCCCAGACUCCUACGGGAGGCAGCAGUGGGGAAUAUUGCACAAUGGAGGAAACUCUGAUGCAGCGACGCCGCGUGAGUGAAGAAGUAAUUCGUUAUGUAAAGCUCUAUCAGCAGGGAAGAUAGUGACGGUACCUGACUAAGAAGCUCCGGCUAAAUACGUGCCAGCAGCCGCGGUAAUACGUAUGGAGCAAGCGUUAUCCGGAUUUACUGGGUGUAAAGGGAGUGUAGGUGGCCAUGCAAGUCAGAAGUGAAAAUCCGGGGCUCAACCCCGGAACUGCUUUUGAAACUGUAAGGCUGGAGCGCAGGAGGGGUGAGUGGAAUUCCUAGUGUAGCGGUGAAAUGCGUAGAUAUUAGGAGGAACACCAGUGGCGAAGGCGGCUCACUGGACUGUAACUGACACUGAGGCUCGAAAGCGUGGGGAGCAAACAGGAUUAGAUACCCUGGUAGUCCACGCCGUAGACGAUGAAUACUAGGUGUCGGGGCCCAUAAGGGCUUCGGUGCCGCAGCAAACGCAAUAAGUAUUCCACCUGGGGAGUACGUUCGCAAGAAUGAAACUCAGAGGAAUUGACGGGGACCCGCA